AAGUGAAGAAGCGCAUACGAUGCAA
rnacentral:rRNA from 1 species